GUGCUUGCUUCAGUGGUACAUGUACUAUAACUGAAACAAUACAGAGAAGAUUAGGUCCCUACACAAAAAACUCUACAUAUUUAGAAAACAUUUUAUAUUUG
rnacentral:snRNA from 1 species